AAGGUUUUAAGUUAAAAAAACUAAUAAUCUUCAAAAUUAUAUAUAAAGAAAUAUUCUUUAAGCCUUA
rnacentral:tRNA from 1 species